rnacentral:rRNA from 1 species
UACGUAGGUGGCAAGCGUUGUUCGGAUUUAUUGGGUUUAAAGGGUGCGUAGGCGGCCCUGUAAGUCAGUGGUGAAAUACUCUAGCUUAACUAGAGGGGUGCCAAUGAUACUGCAGGGCUUGAGUACAGAUGAGGUAGGCGGAAUUGACGGUGUAGCGGUGAAAUGCAUAGAUAUCGUCAAGAACACCGAUAGCGAAGGCAGCUUACUGGGCUGUAACUGACGCUGAUGCACGAAAGUGUGGGGAUCAAACAGG